rnacentral:rRNA from 1 species
UGCACCGGAAUAGCUCCUGGAAACGGGUGGUAAUACCGGAUGCUCCGCUCCAUCGCAUGGUGGGGUGGGAAAUGCUUUUGCGGCAUGGGAUGGGGUCGCGUCCUAUCAGCUUGUUGGCGGGGUGAUGGCCCACCAAGGCGUUGACGGGUAGCCGGCCUGAGAGGGUGACCGGCCACAUUGGGACUGAGAUACGGCCCAGACUCCUACGGGAGGCAGCAGUGGGGAAUAUUGCACAAUGGGCGCAAGCCUGAUGCAGCGACGCCGCGUGCGGGAUGGAGGCCUUCGGGUUGUAAACCGCUUUUGUUCAAGGGCAAGGCACGGUUUCGGCCGUGUUGAGUGGAUUGUUCGAAUAAGCACCGGCUAACUACGUGCCAGCAGCCGCGGUAAUACGUAGGGUGCGAGCGUUAUCCGGAUUUAUUGGGCGUAAAGGGCUCGUAGGCGGUUCGUCGCGUCCGGUGUGAAAGUCCAUCGCCUAACGGUGGAUCUGCGCCGGGUACGGGCGGGCUGGAGUGCGGUAGGGGAGACUGGAAUUCCCGGUGUAACGGUGGAAUGUGUAGAUAUCGGGAAGAACACCAAUGGCGAAGGCAGGUCUCUGGGCCGUCACUGACGCUGAGGAGCGAAAGCGUGGGGAGCGAACAGGAUUAGAUACCCUGGUAGUCCACGCCGUAAACGGUGGAUGCUGGAUGUGGGGCCCUUUCCACGGGUCCCGUGUCGGAGCCAACGCGUUAAGCAUCCCGCCUGGGGAGUACGGCCGCAAGGCUAAAACUCAAAGAAAUUGACGGGGGCCCGCACAAGCGGCGGAGCAUGCGGAUUAAUUCGAUGCAACGCGAAGAACCUUACCUGGGCUUGACAUGUGCCGGAUCGCCGUGGAGACACGGUUUCCCUUCGGGGCCGGUUCACAGGUGGUGCAUGGUCGUCGUCAGCUCGUGUCGUGAGAUGUUGGGUUAAGUCCCGCAACGAGCGCAACCCUCGCCGCAUGUUGCCAGCGGGUGAUGCCGGGAACUCAUGUGGGACCGCCGGGGUCAACUCGGAGGAAGGUGGGGAUGACGUCAGAUCAUCAUGCCCCUUACGUCCAGGGCUUCACGCAUGCUACAAUGGCCGGUACAACGCGGUGCGACACGGUGACGUGGGGCGGAUCGCUGAAAACCGGUCUCAGUUCGGAUCGCAGUCUGCAACUCGACUGCGUGAAGG